CAUGCGCGGUCUGCCUCCCGCGGCGGGCCGGGUCUCCAGGGAGGACCUGAGUUUUCUUCACCCAUUGUCAGGGAGGCGCCAUCGCCCUGGCUUUGGGGCUGGGGCCUCCGGGGAGGUUCCGGUAGGGGCGUUGGAGAGGCCGCUCUUUUUGCAAGGCCCGAGACGGCGGGCCCUGCGCAGGCCGCCCUAUUCCGCGCCCUCAGGGCGUCAGUAUCAGCCUGAGGCUGGAUACCCCCGCUGGGCCCGGAUGCCCCCGCUGGGCCCGGAGCAUCCUCCGGCGCUGCCCUCCCAGAGCCCCGCAGAGGCUGAGGUGGCGCGGGGGCGGCCCCGGCUCCGCGAGAAGCGGCGGCAGCGAGGGCUGGAGGACCCGGGCUGCGGGGCUCCGGGGCGUCUGGCCUGGGCGGGACUGAGCCCAUCCAGGGACUGGGACUCUGGGAUUCUGGUGUAGGUGGAUCCGGGGCAGGCUCAGGACCAAGUCCCUCUCCUUCCACCAAGGAGCGCCCAGAGGCCGGCGGGAGCUCCAGGUUCACCUCCUCCUCCUCCAGGAAAUCCCACUUCCAGCUAGAUGUCUGCAUGAACUACUGAAAGCUGCUGAGUGUCUUGCAGCAGCUUGACUACCACACAAAUGAAUCCACUCAAAUGUUGGCAAGUGGAGCAGAGUCCCAGGACAGGUACAGAAACACCCCCAGUUCAAGGAUCUUCACACCUGGAUUUAGGCCUACUCCUGCAACUACCCCAGAACCUGGAAUUUAUAUGUUCAACAUGGAGCCAUCCCAGCCAUGACAACAGAGAAUGUACCACUCUCACGGGGUAAUAUCGAGUUCCAGAAGGCAAGGAUUAACAUUCAGAAAAAUAGGAAAAACAACCUGCAG
rnacentral:lncRNA from 1 species